UGGGGAAUAUUGGACAAUGGGCGCAAGCCUGAUCCAGCCAUGCCGCGUGAGUGAUGAAGGCCCUAGGGUUGUAAAGCUCUUUCACCGGUGAAGAUAAUGACGGUAACCGGAGAAGAAGCCCCGGCUAACUUCGUGCCAGCAGCCGCGGUAAUACGAAGGGGGCUAGCGUUGUUCGGAUUUACUGGGCGUAAAGCGCACGUAGGCGGACUUUUAAGUCAGGGGUGAAAUCCCGGGGCUCAAACCCGGAACUGCCUUUGAUACUGGAAGUCUUGAGUAUGGUAGAGGUGAGUGGAAUUCCGAGUGUAGAGGUGAAAUUCGUAGAUAUUCGGAGGAACACCAGUGGCGAAGGCGGCUCACUGGACCAUUACUGACGCUGAGGUGCGAAAGCGUGGGGAGCAAACAGG
rnacentral:rRNA from 1 species